rnacentral:rRNA from 1 species
GACUCUGUUCAACGGCCGCGGUAUCCUAACCGUGCGAAGGUAGCGUAAUCACUUGUUCUUUAAAUGAGGACUAGUAUGAAUGGCACCACGAGGGUUAUACUGUCUCCUUUCCCCAAUCAGUGAAACUAAUCUCCUCGUGAAGAAGCGAGGAUAAAUAUAUAAGACGAGAAGACCCUAUGGAGCUUAAAACUUUCAGCAAUUAUCUUUUCUAUAACAACCUUAAGGUUAUUACAUCAACUCUAAUAAUAUGCCUGUCAGUUUUCGGUUGGGGUGACCGCGGAGUAAAACUCACCCUCCGCAAUGAAUAUUAACAAUUAAGCAAAAAACUACAAUUUUAUGCAUCAAAAAAUUGACAGUAUUGACCCAACACUUUGAUCAACGAACCAAGUUACCCUAGGGAUAACAGCGCAAUCCAUCUCAAGAGCUCAUAUCGACAGAUGGGUUUACGACCUCGAUGUUGGAUCAGGGUAUCCCAGUGGUGCAGCCGCUACUAAAGGUUUGUUUGUUCAACAAUUAAAACCCUACGUGAUCUGAGUUCAGACCGGA